GGGUUGUGAGGUUAAGCGACUAAGCGUACACGGUGGAUGCCCUGGCAGUCAGAGGCGAUGAAGGACGUGCUAAUCUGCGAUAAGCGUCGGUAAGGUGAUAUGAACCGUUAUAACCGGCGAUUUCCGAAUGGGGAAACCCAGUGUGUUUCGACACACUAUCAUUAACUGAAUCCAUAGGUUAAUGAGGCGAACCGGGGAACUGAAACAUCUAAGUACCCGAGGAAAAGAAAUCAACCGAGAUUCCCCAGUAGCGGCGAGCGAACGGGGAGCAGCCCAGAGCCUGAAUCAGUGUGUGUGUUAGUGGAAGCGUCUGGAAAGGCGCGCGAUACAGGGUGACAGCCCCGUACACAAAAAUGCACAUACUGUGAGCUCGAUGAGUAGGGCGGGACACGUGGUAUCCUGUCUGAAUAUGGGGGGACCAUCCUCCAAGGCUAAAUACUCCUGACUGACCGAUAGUGAACCAGUACCGUGAGGGAAAGGCGAAAAGAACCCCGGCGAGGGGAGUGAAAAAGAACCUGAAACCGUGUACGUACAAGCAGUGGGAGCACGCUUAGGCGUGUGACUGCGUACCUUUGUAUAAUGGGUCAGCGACUUAUAUUCUGUAGCAAGGUUAACCGAAUAGGGGAGCCGAAGGGAAACCGAGUCUUAACUGGGCGUUAAGUUGCAGGGUAUAGACCCGAAACCCGGUGAUUCAGCCAUGGGCAGGUUGAAGGUUGGGUAACACUAACUGGAGGACCGAACCGACUAAUGUUGAAAAAAUUAGCGGAUGACUUGUGGCUGGGGUGAAAGGCCAAUCAAACCGGGAGAUAGCUGGUUCUCCCCGAAAGCUAUUUAGGUAGCGCCUCGUGAAUUCAUCUCCGGGGGGUAGAGCACUGUUUCGGCAAGGGGUCAUCCCGACUUACCAACCCGAUGCAAACUGCGAAUACCGGAGAAUGUUAUCACGGGAGACACACGGCGGGUGCUAACGUCCGUCGUGAAGAGGGAAACAACCCAGACCGCCAGCUAAGGUCCCAAAGUCAUGGUUAAGUGGGAAACGAUGUGGGAAGGCCCAGACAGCCAGGAUGUUGGCUUAGAAGCAGCCAUCAUUUAAAGAAAGCGUAAUAGCUCACUGGUCGAGUCGGCCUGCUGCGCGGAAGAUGUAACGGGGCUAAACCAUGCACCGAAGCUGCGGCAGCGACACUGUGUGUUGUUGGGUAGGGGAGCGUUCUGUAAGCCUGCGAAGGUGUGCUGUGAGGCAUGCUGGAGGUAUCAGAAGUGCGAAUGCUGACAUAAGUAACGAUAAAGCGGGUGAAAAGCCCGCUCGCCGGAAGACCAAGGGUUCCUGUCCAACGUUAAUCGGGGCAGGGUGAGUCGACCCCUAAGGCGAGGCCGAAAGGCGUAGUCGAUGGGAAACAGGUUAAUAUUCCUGUACUUGGUGUUACUGCGAAGGGGACGGAGAAGGCUAUGUUGGCCGGGCGACGGUUGUCCCGGUUUAAGCGUGUAGGCUGGUUUUCCGUGCAAAUCCGGAAAAUCAAGGCUGAGGCGUGAUGACGAGGCACUACGGUGCUGAAGCAACAAAUGCCCUGCUUCCAGGAAAAGCCUCUAAGCAUCAGGUAACAUCAAAUCGUACCCCAAACCGACACAGGUGGUCAGGUAGAGAAUACCAAGGCGCUUGAGAGAACUCGGGUGAAGGAACUAGGCAAAAUGGUGCCGUAACUUCGGGAGAAGGCACGCUGAUAUGUAGGUGAAGUCCCUCGCGGAUGGAGCUGAAAUCAGUCGAAGAUACCAGCUGGCUGCAACUGUUUAUUAAAAAACACAGCACUGUGCAAACACGAAAGUGGACGUAUACGGUGUGACGCCUGCCCGGUGCCGGAAGGUUAAUUGAUGGGGUUAGCGCAAGCGAAGCUCUUGAUCGAAGCCCCGGUAAACGGCGGCCGUAACUAUAACGGUCCUAAGGUAGCGAAAUUCCUUGUCGGGUAAGUUCCGACCUGCACGAAUGGCGUAAUGAUGGCGGGCUGUCUCCACCCGAGACUCAGUGAAAUUGAACUCGCUGUGAAGAUGCAGUGUACCCGCGGCAAGACGGAAAGACCCCGUGAACCUUUACUAUAGCUUGACACUGAACAUUGAGCCUUGAUGUGUAGGAUAGGUGGGAGGCUUUGAAGUGUGGACGCCAGUCUGCAUGGAGCCGACCUUGAAAUACCACCCUUUAAUGUUUGAUGUUCUAACGUGGACCCGUGAUCCGGGUUGCGGACAGUGUCUGGUGGGUAGUUUGACUGGGGCGGUCUCCUCCCAAAGAGUAACGGAGGAGCACGAAGGUUGGCUAAUCUCGGUCGGACAUCAGGAGGUUAGUGCAAUGGCAUAAGCCAGCUUGACUGCGAGCGUGACGGCGCGAGCAGGUGCGAAAGCAGGUCAUAGUGAUCCGGUGGUUCUGAAUGGAAGGGCCAUCGCUCAACGGAUAAAAGGUACUCCGGGGAUAACAGGCUGAUACCGCCCAAGAGUUCAUAUCGACGGCGGUGUUUGGCACCUCGAUGUCGGCUCAUCACAUCCCCGGGCUGAAGUAGGUCCCAAAGGGUAUGGCUGUUCGCCAUUUAAAGUGGUACGCGAGCUGGGUUUAGAACGUCGUGAGACAGUUCGGUCCCCUAUCUGCCGUGGGCGCUGGAGAACUGAGGGGCUGCUCCUAGUACGAGAGGACCGGAGUGGACGCAUCACUGGUGUUCGGGUUGUCAUGCCAAUGGCACUGCCCGGUAGCUAAAUGCGGAAGAGAUAAGUGCUGAAAGCAUCUAAGCACGAAACUUGCCCCGAGAUGAGUUCUCCCUGACUCCUUGAGAGUCCUGAAGGAACGUUGAAGACGACGACGUUGAUAGGCCGGGUGUGUAAGCGCAGCGAUGCGUUGAGCUAACCGGUACUAAUGAACCGUGAGGCUUAACCUUACAACGCCGAAGGUGUUU
rnacentral:rRNA from 1 species